GUUGCAAACUUAAUUGUGAAUAUUUUAAAUGAAAUUCUAAUGUUUCAUUUAUGAAUGUUUCAGUAUUAACAGAAAGAUCUGUAGCCACAAUUUCUUUUAUGUAUCAUGCCAAUUUAACACUUGUACUAACACCUGGUUUGCGAGUAGAAAACUGAUUGGAGGAUCACCCAGGAGUUACUCAAGUGAGGAACACUGUUGUCUACACAUUCUUCUCCAGCCCUGCCCCCGACUCCAGCUUCUGCUCCUCCUCAAGAGCUCCCGUUCUUGGAGCUGAAGCCUGCCUGGAUGCCUUUGAAGAGGCGUUUCUUUGCAUUUGUUGGAAAACCAAAGGACCACAAACCCUGAAUCCACUGUCCUGCCUGGAGCAGAGCCUGCAGGGAGAGGUGCCCUGGGGAGAGGUUUCCAAUAGAUGCAUUUACACAAGAACUCGGCGAUGAUAAAACCGGUAGAGUGCUGACUAUGCUCAGCGUUAGACUUU